ACUGUGCCCACACACUCACACGAGUGUCAGCCCACGAGCUGAGCUCAUCUGAAAGACCCACUUGAGUUGACCGUAUACUUUGUCUUGCUUCUGACCUGCGCAAGAAAAGUAACACGGCACGGCGACGUUUCCAGCAGGGCUGAGGUCGCGGGGCUCUCACGUGACCCUGCUGCGGGACGGAGCUUAAGGCCAGCCUGUCUGGACGGCAGAAACUCGAUGAUAGGUGCUGUGAGCAGGUGCUGCCAAACAACGGCUUGCCGCCGAGACGAGGUCAAACAGGACUCGUAACGCGCCAUUUGUAUCCCUCCCCAGAUCUGAAGAGAUGAGGAUACAGACGCAGCUCAUUAGCCUGCACGAGAAAGUGGUCGGUGGAUUUAUGAUGUCCCGCAAUGUACAGAAGAUGGAGAGUUUUGUUGCUACAGAGCGGUUUGGGAAAACAUUUAAUAUUAG